GGGAUACACCAUGUUAUUCGGACCUAUACAGUCAGCUGGAUCUGUGAGCGCGUCUCCCCACACGUAUUUCAAGCCUAAUCCGUUCCCCUCGCAUCUUUUGGCAUACACGACGUGGGCGCAUGUGGUGAUAACAAGAAUCAGACCCAGACAGGCGUAUUAAUGAAAAUUAAUUACGCCGGUGAGCAACAUCUCAUGAAUAAAACAAUCAGAACUGGCUACUAAUCGGAUUACCAAAACUCGUACGAGAGAACGUGUUGUCACCGCGACGAAGGAAGGUGUGAGUGAACGCACGGUCUUGGAACUCGAGUUCGCACGAGGUCAAGAGCAAAAGUAAAUGACACUGGGGCUCUGGUUUGUGACGCGUCGCGCAAAAAUCCACCGAAUCUCUUCGAAUGAGCGUGUGUAAUUGGGAUUCGCGUAGCUGCACGCUUUGACAUUAUUAGUCUACGAUUUUGUAAACGUUUAACCAUUGACUGCUGGUCUAUCAUUAUCAUUUCCUUUUGCGAACUCGCCCGCAGAGGUUCCGUUUCACGGGCUGGUAGCGGGUACUGUCCGAACGGCAAAGAAACGAGCGAGCGAGCAAACUUUUUCCCUUUCGAGCUUCACGAACGAUGAAAAUCGUCCGGACGACACGAGAGAGUGACGACCGUGCGCAAUUAAGAAUAACAAUUAGCGAGCGUGCAUAACCAAUAGGACUCCAUGUAUAUACAGAGUUUGGGGUUUCUAGGUUGUCAGGUCCACAUUACUUCCGCUAUAUGUAUUUCUCGUCGUUAAUCGAACACGAGUGAAAGCAACACGAUAGCAUGCGGCCAAUAGCGUUCGAUGCUCAAUUUCGAAUACUGUGCAAAUUUUAUUGGCGAGAAACCUCAAUAUUCGAUCUAGUUUUUAAGUUGCUCGAUCGGUGCAUUUGUUUGAUGUCCAUUUUUUCAUUUGUCGAUCAUUUGGAUGAUUCCAAGUCGAGAAGAAAAAUCAAUGCGGCAGAAAAUUGCGGUUUAAUGUUUGGCCAAGUGAUAAAUUGCGCGUGGGAAAAGGAAAGGAAGAAAAUCAUUAAUGGGUAGCACUCAAGGCUGGUCAUUGGCCGUGACUGACAUCGCGUAUCUGUUUCUUCAGGAAGCGCUGCCUACAUUUAGCAUUCCUUAUUCCUACUUUAUAGAAAAUAUAACUGAAAUAUCUGUACAAUUUGUAAUAUCAGAAAUAAUAUUCCAAUGUCGUAUAUUAUAUCGAUCGAAUCGGAUAAGACACAUAUUUCUAUAUCGCUUGACUCUAGAAAUCAGAACGUACAUUUAUUCUCUUAUUUUGAUUAAUUUUAAGCAUUGCAGGAGGAAAUCUCCUCUAGAUCCUCUUCGAUCGAGCUGUAUGUAGCCGAGUCACAUUGCAUCAACGUCAAUGGUCAAUGACACAGCAUAAUUACCACGUAAGAACAUUCGGAUAAAUAUCUGAGGUAUCUUUAUCGCGUCUCGAUGGAUUACAUAACGGCGAACCUGCGAAAAGGCAAAAUCGAGCAACUGGAAGAGACGUGAGAAUCACUUGAACUUGGAAGAUAGAGGUUUUCCGCGAGUUCACGGAUUCACGGUAAUUUACUAUCAACAAGAACAAUUAUUCGAGCCGCAAUUUCUCACGUUGCUAGCAGCUUCUUUUCCCAGUAAUUGUUGAGAGAGUACUGUUAAUAUGCUAACACGUCGCGGGAAUAAUUAACAGGCUACCACCGAUCGUGGAAACAGUUGGUAGAAUUUGAACGAGGCUCGUCUAACUGGAGCUGCGAAGCAGCUUCAAGGAAGUUCGGACGAUUAGAUGUAAUGCGAGAAUUGGUAGGUGAAAUAGACUUGAUGAAAUAUGACAUAGAAAAAAGCUUGGGAAGAACUCUGCUUCCGGCACUCAGGAGAGGAUUCCUCGUGGACCAUGAACGUGUCAUGCGGUUGUUUCUAACGGUAAAGAUGAAUCGUCCUAAACGCUUUUUCCUCUCGCUUCGGCUGUUCUUUAUCGAAUAUACAUUUACUCAUCCUUGGUCUCUGUUAACGGUAUAGUCAUUUCGGUAUUUAGUUUCACGAAUAAAUUAUUAUAACUGUCACGGAGUUGUUACGUAUUCGAAAUUCCGCCUCUUCGGUCUCCGUGUUCACAGCGCGAAGAUUUCCUAGUCAGGGGCUCGUUAUCGCUUUCGCAUGACAGAGCGCAGACGCCUCGUAAAAUAUCGAAUGUUCAAUUGUAAUUUUAUUGUAACAGAUCUGCACGAUUAGCGAUCGUUUCCUUGUCGCAAUAAGAGCAAUAUACUUGAUCUAAAAGUAACUGCAAUUCUAAACGGAGUAAUACGCUGGAUCAAAAACGUAAGGGAGCAAUGAAAAAGAUAGGAACGCGAUUUUGUGACAAGUAAUAAACGAGGGAAAUGUUAGUUUAAGGAGACGUGUCUAAUCAUUGUCCCUUUGUAUUUUAAAGCCUGGAAGAACUUUGGCGUAGAGUCCAAUCCGUAAGAUUUGAUUUCGAUUACAGUAAUGACUUUUAAGAUGCUGCGCAUCUCCUCUCGUAACUGCUUGGAAUGUUUUUCAAAAUGUAUCAUAAUUUUUUCGAUGCUCGAAGAUUGACGUGCAGUCGCUGUAUAUUUGUCAGUGUUACAUUGAAAGCUUCAAACUUUAUGACUAUUCUUAUAUUUUUGCAUUAGGAUUCGAGUAGCAGUAGUUCUAAUUAAAAGCGAAAUCACGAAGCAGAAAUUCAAAUUUAGAAAUUUCACGAUUUCAGAAUGUUGCUAAUCUGUUUUGAGAUUUUUUUCUCCUUAAACAGGAGAUCAGAAUGAAUGUUAUUUAAUUUAAACGGAAUAUCGUAGAAUAUUGAAAAUUUUUUAGCUUUCGAGUCAUUAAAAUUUGUACAUACCAUUUUCAGAUGUUACAUUCAGUCAUGAAAAUUUGUCAUUAUUAUCUGUUACAACCUGCAGGAUGUCACUCACCGUGAGAAAGACCGUUUUUAACACUGUGCGUUUGAAUCCUUUUCUCGGUCCGUUUGAUAAUACGAUCGGUUAUACGCGUUACAUGAAUCGAUCGCAAUGUUCGGGUCUAAGAAGGAAUAGAAUUAAAAUGGGGGCACACGAGUUCCUUAAACACUGUUCAUGUCACCACACCGGAUGUCGUGGGGUCGAACACCUCCGUCCUCACAGGUGGAUGUCUAGAGGUUGACUGUAGAAUCGUAAGUAACCGCUCUCCGUGCUCUGGUAGAGUCAGGGAAAAAGGGGGGAUGAGAUGAGGAAUAUCGGCUCCUGUUCUACUACUUUGAAACCUUUCUUCUUUUCUUUGUGAGGAGACUAAAGAGGGUAAAUAAGAACACCCCUUUUUUCCUUUGCGUUUUGCCAAACUAUUAAAUAUUCCUCACUUUCUGAGGACUACUUUUUAUACAAAAAUGUGUUAAUAAAUUACAUUUAUAGACUAGGAAUAUUAAAAUAGGAUUUAUGGAUGUGGAGGUUAAUAUAAUAAUGCAAUCGGUAGAAGUACAUUGUCUUUAUAGCUGUUCGAUGACAAUGUAUUACAAAAUUAUACAUAUUUUUAAAUGAAUAGUGAUGGAGUGAUAAUAAAUUUGUGUGCCCAAAAUUAUUUCUAUCUUGUUUUGUCCAAUUCAUUGUAACCAGAUUCAUUAAAUUAUUUCCAUAUAUAUAAACUCUGUUGCAUACUUAUGAAAUUUACCUUUUUCAUUUAAAUAUUAGUUUGCAUAUCGUAUUUCAUAUUUUGAAUCUUUAAUUACAUGUCAUAAUCGCAAUAAAAUUUUACUACUAGUUAGAGAAGAAAGCAAUGUCAAAACAACAUUCGUGUACGAAGCUGAAUGUUAUAUUACAUAGAGAAUAUAUCUUCAAAAAAUCCUUAAGAGAUUUGACGAGAAAGGUGGAAUUAUUCAGGCUUCGAUAACGACAGACAAAUAUCUGUUGUAUUUCCUAGUAAUUCUAGGAGCAAUAGAUAUACGAAAUAUGUUACAUAUUGCAAUAAAUGACAAUUACUUUUUAAUACAGUAGUCCAAUAUCGAAAUAUCUUCUGUAAGUCAUUUUCUUUGUAUUAAAAUAAGUAAUAGAAAUUUUCGUCAGAUAUACUCAAAUUGCAGUCUUAUAGAUACUAAUUGUUAAAAAGAGACUACAUGAAAUCAACUUAAGAGAUUAAACAUAAUAGCAAAGUUAUAUAUAGUUCACUUAAUUUCGUAAUAAUCGAGUACAAUAGCGUUAAUGAUUCUAAAAAUACUAUCCAAGUUCUUCACUAAAUGAAACUUAGAGACUUAAAAUUCUUAUAUCUGUUACUUUAAUUAAAUAUAUAGGCUAAUAAUAAUAUAACGUGUUCAUUUACUU